UUGGCGGUGGAUCACUUGGCUCGCGCGUCGAUGAAGGGUG
rnacentral:rRNA from 1 species